GUAGAGCGGCUGGUGGAAGGGCCAGGCGCACUGGCCCGGGCAUUGGCUGGCCGAGUCCCCCACCCAGACGAACCCGGCAGAUCCGUCGAGCCGCCCGUGCGUCCCGCACCGGCUCGAGCAGAAGCCCUCGACCGCCACGUCCGCCGCGGUGACGACGACGGCGAUGGCCCUGGGGCCGCUCGCCGCCUCCGCUCUACUAGCCAAGGCGACCACGUCGGGCGAGGAGAGGAGCUUCCCCUUGGAGUAGGACUCGUCGAGGAGCUGCGGGCCGAGGGAGAAGUGCACGGCGGAGCCGCCAUAACGGGCGGUGGUGCGCCACCAGCUGGCGGCGGAGGGUGGCUGUGGCGAGGCCCCGGAGGGGGAGAGGGACCGG
rnacentral:lncRNA from 1 species